rnacentral:rRNA from 1 species
GUGCCAGCCGCCGCGGUAAUACGUAUGGGCGCAAGCGUUGUCCGGAAUUAUUGGGCGUAAAGAGCUCGUAGGCGGCUUGUCGCGUCGGUUGUGAAAGCCCGGGGCUUAACUCCGGGUCUGCAGUCGAUACGGGCAGGCUAGAGUUCGGUAGGGGAGAUCGGAAUUCCUGGUGUAGCGGUGAAAUGCGCAGAUAUCAGGAGGAACACCGGUGGCGAAGGCGGAUCUCUGGGCCGAUACUGACGCUGAGGAGCGAAAGCGUGGGGAGCGAACAGGAUUAGAUACCCUGGUAGUCCACGCCGUAAACGGCGGGCACUAGGUGUGGGCAGCAUUCCACGUUGUCCGUGCCGUAGCUAACGCAUUAAGUGCCCCGCCUGGGGAGUACGGCCGCAAGGCUAAAACUCAAAGGAAUUGACGGGGGCCCGCACAAGCGGCGGAGCAUGUGGCUUAAUUCGACGCAACGCGAAGAACCUUACCAAGGCUUGACAUACACCGGAAACAUCCAGAGAUGGGUGCCCCCUUGUGGUCGGUGUACAGGUGGUGCAUGGCUGUCGUCGGCUCGUGUCGUGAGAUGUUGGGUUAAGUCCCGCAACGAGCGCAACCCUUGUCCCGUGUUGCCAGCAGGCCCUUGUGUGCUGGGGACUCACGGGAGACCGCCGGGGUCAACUCGGAGGAAGGUGGGGACGACGUCAAGUCAUCAUGCCCCCUUAUGUCUUGGCUGCACACGUGCUACAAUGGACCGGUACAAACGAGCUGCGAUACCGUGAGGUGGAGCGAAUCUCAAAAAGCGUCUCAGUCGAUGGGGUCUGCACUCGACCCAUGAAGUCGGAGUCGCUAGUAGUCCGCAGAU